CCUCUGUCCGCUUGAAAACUUUAUUGGACUCAACUUGAACGGCUUGGGAACGUGUUAAGUCACAAUUCGUCAUACUCAACGAAUUUCUGAAGUACAGCAUACUGGACGGUGACAAUCAACGAUACCGAUCCGAGCAGGAGAAAAUUAGUCAUCGGCAUCACCUCGAGCGUUACUUCAGACUUUCACCUGAGAUCGUCGAAGAAAUAAGAAAGAAUAAGAAUAAAAAGAAA
rnacentral:lncRNA from 1 species